AAGCUCGGCCCAAUAAUGAUGGUGUCGUUGUGCGAGACUGCGCAGUCUUUUAGUUUACCAUUUUUUCAAAAAAAAAAAUAGAGCUCAAAGACGACAUUUUGGCGCCAUAUGGCGGGAGAUGAAAUUGUUAAGGUUACAGAUUCCCGCUAAAAUAAACUUUGUUUUUGAUAUUUACACAAUUUUACGAAUCAAUACCAAAACCCUCUCCUCACCCAGGCUCCAAACAUUCUCUCAAUCCAACAACAGUUCUUGUUUUCAACUUCUCACCAUGCCUUCUCUCGCUGCUGGUCGGAAUGUAGCCGUUAAAUCUAACACCGAACAGAUGACGCCUCAGAAACGGACAUUAAGAUCUAACGCAGGAGCAGCAGCGGUGCAGGAAAGUCCGGUCUCUUCACCAGUGAAGUGGAAAUCUCCACGCCGAUGCUUUGUUUCGAGCCCAAACACUACUCCUGAUGUAGGCAUUGAGAAAAUGUGCAAAUCGCCAGCAAAGAAAUUGUGUGAUGAUUUAAUUGAUAAAGCAAAUUGGAAUCCUAGAGAUAUGGAGCAAAUGAGUGCAGUUAAAGAGGCAUUGCAUGUGUCAACAGCACCAUCAACUGUUGUAUGCCGUGAAGAUGAACAGAAAAAGGUUUUUGAUUUCUGUAAGGCUUGUAUUGAACAGGAAAAGGCUGGGAGUUUAUAUGUGUGUGGCUGUCCAGGAACUGGCAAGUCUUUGUCUAUGGCGAAAGUGAAGCAACAGUUGGUUGAUUGGACCAAAGAGGCUGGCUUUCAGUGUCCAGAUGUGUUGAGUAUGAAUUGCACUUCUCUAACAAACACAUGCGAAAUCUUCAGCAAGAUAAUUGGUAAAAACUCCCCAAGAAAGAGAAACAGUGGAUCUUCUUCACAUCUACUGCAUCUUCAGAACUUGUAUUCUCAACAUCAUUUACCAGGCUCAAAAAUGAUGCUAAUAAUAGCAGAUGAAUUGGACUAUUUGAUUACUAAAGACCGUGCCGUCCUUCAUGAUCUUUUUAUGCUUACAACUUUCCCAUUUUCUCGAUGCAUAUUAAUAGGUAUAGCAAAUGCCAUAGAUCUAGCAGAUCGUUUUCUUCCAAGACUUCAAUCAUUGAACUGCAAGCCUAUGGUCAUAACUUUUAGAGCUUACUCCAAGGACCAAAUUCUCAGAAUACUUCAAGAGAGGCUGAUGGCACUAUCUUGGACCAUUUUUCAUCCACAAGCAUUGGAGCUCUGCGCCAGAAAAGUAGCAGCUGCUUCAGGAGACAUGCGGAAAGCUCUUUGUGUUUGCAGGAGUGCGGUUGAGAUCCUAGAAGCAGAACUGAAAGAAUCUACAAGCAAUAUGAAUUCAUUUGAACUGGAGAAAGAGUUGCCUGAUCAGCAAAUAGCUCAAGCUUGCAGUAUUGUGAGGAUUGAUCAUAUGGCUGUUGCUUUGUCAAAAGCAUAUAGGUCACCUGUAGUGGACACCAUUCAAUCUCUUCCUCAGCAUCAACAAGUAAUUCUAUGCUCUGCUGUGAAGUUUUUUCGGGGAGGAAAGAAGGAUACUACUAUAGGAGAGCUGAAUAAAUCUUAUGCAGACAUAUGCAAGUCAACAAUGAUACCACCAGUUGGAUUUCUGGAGUUUUUGAAUAUGUGCACAGUGCUAAAUGAUCAGGGCCUCCUAAAACUAGGUCAAUCUCGUGAUGAUAAAUUGAGAAGAGUGACGUUGAAAGUAGAUGCUGCAGACAUUACUUUUGCAUUGCAGUCACAGGGUAUUCGUUUCUUUCGGAAUUGUCUCCAGUAACUCUGUCUAAGUACGUGUACUUGGUUUCCUUCAACAUUCCAACUCAGUAUUUCAUGGCUAUUUAUCAUUAGUUUCUCCACCCAAUGCCAGUUAAAGCAACUUAACUGGCUCGACGUAACCCAAUAUUCAUCUCGCAUGUUGAACGUCAAGAAAUUAAAGAAAACAAUGUCAAAACAUAGAAGAGAGAAGAACCUAGAUGCCUUAAAUGGCAUCAUUUUCUAGCCACGACUCGAGGGUUUCAACAGCAAAAACCUAGCACAGGCACAAAUUCAGUUGUAUUGCAUUUUUAUUCUUUACUAUGUCAAUAUAAUGAUUUUUUGCUAUAAUAAAUUUUAAAAAAAAAAGGAAAUAAAUUGAUAAUUGUAGGGCAAA